UGCAUUCUAUUCUCAUGUCAGUGAUUGUUUCACCCGCAGUGCAGAUCCCGACAGCGGCCUCGCAGCCUUUCCCUUGGGCACAGCUGGUGAGGACCACCAUGGGAAGAGAAAUCCCAGUCUGAUAAACACCCAGCGCGUUCAUGGGCCCAGCGCUCAGGAGCCCUGGCAUGCUCGUGUGAAGUGAAAGAGGGACUGAAACACUGCGGCAGCGUGUACGCAGGGACAGAACUCGCUUGUGUUUCGAAGGGGCCUCCAUCCUGAAGGCAUCCAAACACGCGAGAGGCAGUCUGAGUUCUAAACAACAGAGGAGCAAAUUCUCUCCCUCAUUUUCGAGUGCACAGCGGUGGAAAAUUCUACACACAUAGUUUUCAGAUUCUAGUAUUAAAGAGACUAAAAUUCCUAGACCAUCAGCCAAGUCUCCUUCCACUUACAGUCCUUCAUGAAUUACUAAGCAUCAUGCCCGGGUUAGCAGCAGCCCUGGCCAUCUGUGGGAGACAAAUAUUGCCCGGCUAAGCAUUUAUCUGGAAGGCAGUAAGCAUCGAAAGGGAGAAAUUCAGGCCGCUGGAGACCGAAUUGAAGAUCCAGUCACCGUCAAAUCUCGCUGCACCUUGGAGAUCCUCCUUUUGUCAAAGGAGACACUGAAAGGCACUGCGGAGUUCCGGAAGGGGAGUAACAUGGUUGAUCUUGCCUUUGAACAGAUUGCUCUGUUUGCCAUUUAAAUCCAGGUGUCAGGUAAAGACUUGGUGUCCAAGGCAGGAAUCUGUUGCAGUGACCCAGGUGAGUGUGUGAUUAUGUGUAAAGGUGACAGUGACAGAGAAGGUGAGGUGCCUGUGAGCAGCGAUGCAAUUCACAGGACUUUGCCAUCUAUUUACGCUGCCCACUGGCUUGUGAAGCCAGCCGGGCAAAAUCACUCUCCCACACGCUGUGCUUGGAACGCUUCAUUUAAAACAGCAAAAGUGAGUGGAAUGCUUCUGUCCUUUCCGCCUGUUCAGGUUGUUUAGAGAAAGCUACAUGUACUCCUAGCACUGCGUAGACACAGUGGGCUACUCCAGAUGCUUUUGUAGUUUUGGUUUCCUGUCAUCAUUUGGGGUCCUCUUUUCCCUGAACUUGGAGAAAAAGUCGGCCUUUUUUAGUUACCUCACCUUACUUGUGGCCCUUUAUUUCCCUUACUCAGGGACUGCUGUGAUUGCCAGGGAGGAUGCUCAGAAAUGAGUAGCACUCAGUGAUUGAUGGAGAAAGAAGGGCAGGCCCUCUGAGGGCAGGUCACCGCGUAGGGUAGGGGAGAGGCAAGGUGAUCAGCGGGCACCCACCUUCUGACCAGCUCUGCUGAGCGCCCCGGGCCCUGUGUCCUGGACUCCUGCUUUUAGGGCGGAUGGAACUGUCUGGGAAAGCACAUGCACUGUGGAGUCCGAAAGGCCUCAGUGGGCACCCUCACAGGGUGCACUGACCUGGGAACUAGGCUGGCCGGGCCCUCCUCCCUGCCUCUUUCCCAGCUCCCUUCCCGCCUCCAGCGUGCACCUCUGUUUCCUGCCAUCGCUCCCCAAACCCUUCCCAAACCAGGUGAUCUUCAACAUUCUGUGACGUUUCCUUGCCUAAGCAAAGACCCACCUAUUUUCCUAGGAAUGCCUCACAGAUGCUCUUCUUCAGCGGCCUCCUCUGUAAACAGAAGUGCAAAUUGUUCCUCCUAGUAAUCAGGUGGCCUUGGGGCCUUUGUCUGCCUUUUUCCUACCCCUGGCUGGUUUUGUUUCAUUUUUCAGCAUAGCUUAAAAUAUCAGUUCUUUAAAAACAAAAACCCACUUAGUGUAAAUGUUUGCACCAAUUCAGUUCCUCGGUAUUCCUCAUGGGUUCAUACUUAUUUUUGUUAUUUCCCCUUCUCCAAAUUCUGUGGUUCUUAUCGCUUGCUGUGUUGUGCCCAACACCAGUACAGUGCCUGUGACAUUAAGAAGUGUAUUAAUAAAAGGAUGGAUGAAUCAAAUAAUUGUCACAAGGAUUAAAUGGGCUAACAAAUUAAAACGGCUUUCAGAAGUGCUGGGCCAACAUUAGCCAGUCAAGAGUCAGUUCAUUUCUUUCCUUUAGCUCAGCAAAUAUUCUCUAGAUACCAAAUCAUUGCAGUGUGCAAAGGUGCUUGAGGACAACAUGGGAAACAGGACAAUUAAUCGGUAAGAUUUCCCCCAAGAACAGCUGGAACGCUCACAGAGGACAAGGAAAUAGCUUAUGCCCAUGAAUUCCAUAGUUAUUCUUUGCUUUGAUCUUUAAAGAGUUUUUUAUAACCCAUAAUGCUCACACUCAUGGGGGAAUUUGUGCGGAUGCUUAACACAUCUCCAGUCUCUUUUUAGUGUCCCCUCCCCUCUGUCUAGCCUCCUCCUUCCCAGGUUUGCAAAAGCUCUGUAUCUCCUUUUCCUUCAAUUCUUUUUGUAAAUCCAGUUGCUUUCCUUCUCUCUCCCCGCCCCCAACUCUUGUUCUCCUUUCCAUUUGAAAAGGUCUUCCUGCUUCCUACAGUUCAGUUUGGUCUUUUAAAUCAGAUAAAAUGAGUAUUUGAGUUUCUCUGUGUUCAUGUUUACAUUUUGCUCUUGACAAAACAUUAUUUCUCACUUCUGUGAAAAUCAGACUAAAGAGAUUUCUUCUACAUUGCCGUGCUCUUAAAAACACCAUUUAGACAAAUAUUAACUUUUCCUUCCAAAAUACAAGACUGGUUUUAUUCUUUCAUGGUUCUACAGUCCAACAUAAUCUAUGAAUGAUUCAGAAGGAAGUAUUUUUACUAAAUUUACAUUUCCUUGUAUUAACUUUUAUGAAAAAUGGCACAGCUAGACAACUCAACAUUCAAUUUUGUACAAUCUGGAAGGACACGGUACCUGUAUGGAAUGGACAGGAAUCACUUUCUCCAGCAUGCAUUGUACUGAACACCGCUGCCUGUCGACACCUAUGGGAGUGCUGUGAUCUCAGGCAUUUGCGGGGGCUUCCUGUGGCCCAGAAGAAUUUGGAUACAUGAGCUGUAAAGACAUCAUCUUGAAUGGCCAAAGUUUACUGCCACUUGAAACAAGCAAAAGGAACCAAGAAUUCCUAAGGCUUCCACUUUUCUCUCUUCGAGUGUUUCCAAGCAAUACGAAUGCUGGGAUUUUAGGAAGUUGGAAAGAGACUCCGUGAACCAACAAGGAAACUAAGUUUGCGCUUUGCUAGUAGGACCGACUUCUGAAGCUGGGCUUUCCAUUGUCCCCAAGACACUGUCUUCAGCUCAGCUUCCAAAGUGACCCUCUUAGAACAUGAGUGGGGCUGGGCCUUUGCUUCUGGGUCAAUACUGAAUUCCUAAGCCCGGUUCCCAGCCAUGGUCUAAUUCUCUGCCACUUCCGGGGGUGCACUUCCUUCAACCCCACCAGCCUCUCUGGCCCUUCAAAUGCUUUCAGGUCUCUGUGCCUUAGGGUGCUGUUCUCUGGGUCUCCCCUGCACACUUCCCUCUGGGGUCUCCUCUCCUGUGAGGCCUUCUCUAACCUUCUGCACAGGCUUUGCAAUUCCCUUCUUUCACCAUGCAUAACACUGGGAUUAUGAACACCUCAGAAAGAGGUGGUAUUUUAUUUAAUUUUGUAUUUCUAGGACUUGUCUGGAGAAGAGCACCUAGACAAUGGUUCAAGAAUGCAAAAAGGAAACCUGAGGAUUAUUGUCUACUAUUUUCCUGCAUAACUACUUUCCCAGUAAUUCAAUGUUUAAGUAAAAAUUUACCAUGUAAGAUUAUAUUCAGAGUGGAUCAACCAUUUUGCCUGUAAUCACUGCCUUGAGGGAGGCUGAGGUAGGAGGAUCACAAGUUUAAGUCCUGGCUAGAUAACUUAGCAAGAUUCUAUCUCAAAAUAAAAACCAGGAGGCAGAUGUAACCUAGUGCUGGAGUGUCCCAUGGUGAGGUCCCAGCACAGGAGGAGAGAGCUCAACCACUGACCACAUUCAGUUUGGAAGCAUCAAGGUAAGCAGAAACGAAAUUGGAAGGGCCAAUGAAAUCUGGGCUCCUCUCCCACUGGCCCCCCACAUUCUGUGACCCCUCAGUCAGUUGUCCUUGGGCACCUUAGUUUUUUCCUUAUCUGUAAAAGGGGGCUGAGCAGGAGCCAUUACUCUGAGACAGACUACUCAGCUCCAAGCAUCAACCAAGUCAAAGAAAUGGCAGUGCUGCGCGGAUCUCUAGGCUGUGUAGCCCAACCUUCUCCCUGGAUUCAGGGCCCUCCGAUCAUCCCUUCUGGGGUGGCCGCUGGCAGCCUUCCUGGCCCUUAGCUCCUCUGUCCCUACACUCAGCUCCGGGGCAUUGCUCCCAGGAAGUUCUCUUCCCCAAGUAAAAGCUGCAUUCUUUGUGACUUAGCUCCCCCAAGUCACAAGAAAAAGUCAGUUCCAGGUGCACUUCAGUCCUGGUGAGCCGGCGUCACAGCCCUCCACAGCCUGACCUCCGGAUUAAAAGCCUAGACUCCUUCACACAAGGCUCACAGGUCACCAGUGCCCUCAAGGUUCUGACCAGGGACCUUAGAAGGCGCUUUGUGGACCCGUAUGGAGGUCCCUCUAGGAGACAGCGGAUGAGGGGCAGGCAAACCCCAGGCAGCCCCGGCUUUCCUCAGGGGUGACACCACCUGUCUCCCCUCACCGCCCAACGGCAAGCUUAGAUUCUGCCCUAGAAGCCUGCUGGCUCAAGUUGCCUUUGUGGUUAGUUGAUAGUUGGAGUAUUUCAUAGUUUAAGAUAAAAAUAACUUUAAGAUCUUGUGUCAAUCUAAGUUACCGUCUUUGCACUUACUCAUGCAAUUCAUUUUCCGACUUUACUGGACGUGCUUCCAUUUAUCUAUAUAGGUUCAGCCCUUAAAUACCGCAGCGCUCCCAGGAGUCGCUGUGCGGAGCAGGACCAAGGGUCAUGCACGGUCUCAGGCAGAGGUAUCGGACCAGAACCAUUGUCAGGCACCGUUUAACCAGCCGUUCUCUGGUCUUGGUGGCCUGGCCAGCUGAUGCCUGCCUUGGACACCUGUUCUGGCUUCAUUUCCUGCAUGCCUCCUCCUCUCUACAGUAAUGAGCGCUUUCUAGCUUUUCCUUCCUUUGGUACCAAAAUCAACAGUCAGGAAUAACACUGAUAAUCAGCCUUAGCGGGCAAACAAAUACCGCCCUGGGAAAGCCCUGUAUUCCCUCGUUACAAGGAAACCAAGAGUGUAUUUGUUAGUCUAAAUUCUGCUCUGUCUUGUAAAAUCUCACCGGUGAAGAUCUGAUUUACUAAUUUUAAUUCCAAU